rnacentral:lncRNA from 1 species
UGUGGACGAGAAUACUCGGCUACUCGGGAAAAGUGAGCAGGAGCUGGUGUGCUGAACAUAAAGGAUGCUGCCUACCGUACCCAGGGAUAAAGAAGUGACAGUUCUCCCAGCAGGAAGUCAUAGGAACAGCUCUGCCUUUUCUAAAGAGAACCUGAGGAAGCACAGAAAGCAAACAGGCCAGCACUUUUUGUGUUGUCCCCAUUCUUACCUUGAAGUGCACUCACUUUACUGCACUUCAGGAGAACAUUGGCUGUUAGUACUUCAGAGAAUGAAUCAAAGCGUACAGCAUUUAUCAGGGAAAAAGGGGUCAACUGGAGAGAGACUUCUGCCAUGUUUCUCUAAUAUUUUUCAGGAAUCAAGCAAUUGCUUCAUGGAUUCUGGCUCUAAGCGCUCUGCCAUUUAUGAGAAGGGCAUUUAAACAGCCUGCAAGAAACCACAUGUUCUCUCAUUACGAUGCAGAGGAAGAGGAACAGUGCUACACAUUGACAGUGGUUUGCAUGAAAGACAUCAGAAACCUAUGCAUUCUGAAGCCACUUUGGGGUAAUUUGGCCUCUUCCUCCAGAUGCGUUCUAAUGAACUCCUGCCUAGGUGCUAAGACUGACCCUUUAAGCUGGACAAAGUUUGGACAUCUAGACGGCCUCAUUUCUGAAGCCGAGAGCCAAACCUAAUCUGCAGAAUAAGAUUGCAUCUAUGCUCCUCUUUCACAGGACAAUGCAGCCCAUUGACAUCACCGGUGAUUCAGCUUUUCAGACCUUCAUUAAGGUGCCGGCAGCCACAGAUCACAUCAGACUACAUUUUAUAUCCAAUCCAGGUCAAGUGUAGAGCUGGGCAAAUGCUGCCAAUAAUUUGUCAAUCUUCAUUCACAUGUGCAAGCCUAUUCACGGAGCCGGUUUACUUUCUACAAGUGCUCUAGCCCCUGGGGUUAUCAGCAGGAAAU